rnacentral:rRNA from 1 species
CAGUAGUCAUAUGCUUGUUUCAAAGAUUAAGCCAUGCAUGUCUAAGUACAUACUCUUGAAAAGUGAAACUGCGAAUGGCUCAUUAAAUCAGUCAUGGUUUACAAGACCUUGCAUGCUACUUGGAUAACUGUGGCAAUUCUAGAGCUAAUACAUGCCAAGAGACUCCUACCCCUCUGGGGACGAGCGCAACUAUUAGACCAAAACCAAUCGGGGCUCCGGUUCCGCACUGGUAUGGUGACUCUGGAUAGCCUUGCCGAUCGCACGGUCCUAGUACCGGCGACGGAUCUUUCAAAUGUCUGCCCUAUCAACUUGAUGGUAGGUUAAUUGCCUACCAUGGUUGUAACGGGUGACGAGGAAUCAGGGUUCGAUUCCGGAGAGGGAGCCUGAGAGACGGCUACCACAUCCAAGGAAGGCAGCAGGCACGUAAAUUACCCAAUCCCCAAUCGGGGAGGUAGUGACGAAAAAUAACAAUGCGAAACUCUUACGAGGCUUCGUAAUUGGAAUGAGAGCAGCCUAAACAUAUUAUUUGACGAUCUAUUGGAGGGCAAGUCUGGUGCCAGCAGCCGCGGUAAUUCCAGCUCCAAUAGCAUAUAUUAAAGUUGCUGCGGUUAAAAAGCUCGUAGUUGGAUGUCAGUUUCGGGCGAGCGGCCCACCUCUAAGGUGGCGACUGUUCGUACACGAAGCAGUAGUGACGCCGGCUCUGCUCGCGAUGCUCUUCACCGGGUGUCCCGGGCGGCCGGAAGUUUACUUUGAAAAAAUUGGAGUGCCCAAAGCAGGCGAAAGCCGCUCGAAUAGCCUAGCAUGGAAUAAUGAAAUAAGACCUUGUCUCUAUUUUGUUGGUUUACGGAGAUUGAGGUAAUGAUUAAUAGGGACUGCCGGGGGCAUACGUAUUGCAGGGCGAGAGGUGAAAUUCUUGGACCCUUGCAAGACGACCAAGAGCGAAAGCAUUUGCCAAGAAUGUCUUCUUUAAUCAAGAACGAAAGUUAGAGGUUCGAAGGCGAUCAGAUACCGCCCUAGUUCUAACCAUAAACGAUGUUAACCAGCGAUUAGCGAGCGUUCCUCCAAUGACGCUGCUAGCAACUCCCCGGGAAACCAAAGUGCUUGGAUUCCGGGGGGAGUAUGGUUGCAAAGCUGAAACUUAAAGGAAUUGACGGAAGGGCACCACCAGGAGUGGAGCCUGCGGCUUAAUUUGACUCAACACGGGAAAGCUCACCCGGCCCGGACACUAGAAGGAUUGACAGAUUGAGAGCUCUUUCUUGAUUCAGUGAGUAGUGGUGCAUGGCCGUUCUUAGUUGGUGGAGCGAUUUGUCUGGUUAAUUCCGAUAACGAACGAGACUCUGGCCUAUUAAAUAGAAUGUCGAUUCCAACGGUCGACAUCCUCUUCUUAGAGGGACAGGCGGCUUUCAGCCGCAUGAAAUAGAGCAAUAACAGGUCUGUGAUGCCCUUAGAUGUCCGGGGCCGCACGCGGGCUACACUGAAGGAAUCAGCACGUGAUCUCCCGCGUCCGGAAGGAUGGGGUAAUCCGCUGAACCUCCUUCGUGAUAGGGACUGGGGCUUGUAAUACUUGCCCACAAACGAGGAAUUCCUAGUAAGUGCAAGUCAUAACCUUGCACUGAUUACGUCCCUGCCCUUUGUACACACCGCCCGUCGCUAAUACCGAUUGAAUGGUUUAGUGAGGUCUUCGGACGGGGACCCUGUGAGACGUCGCUUCCGGUGGCGUCGAACUUGCCGUCCCUGAAAGAUGACCGAACUGGACUGUUUAGAGAUAUUAAAAGUCGUAACA